GUGGGUGAUUGCGUGUGGCUUAUGCUGCAUGAGGAAAGUCCAUGCUCGCACUAACUGUGAUGUUAGUAGUGUUCGCGCUAGCUGAAAAAAUAAGGCUAGGCAUUCAAUGAUUUGAAUGAUGGCCAGCCAAAGAUCUAAGGAUUUAUCUAUGAUUUAGUAAGCUGCUAAGGUGCCACAGUGACGAACCAUCAAAGAAAUGCGAUGGAUGGAACGCGGUAAACCCCACGAGCGGGCAACCCAAACUUUGGUAGGGGCGCUUGACCUAGCGAAAAGAAGUGAUGGUCGGGGAAACAGAAAUGUUUGAGAUAGAUGAUUACCACUAAAUAAAGAUUGCCAAUUUUUAUUUGGAACAAAACAUGGCUUAUAG
rnacentral:RNase_P_RNA from 1 species